ACUUUAGGUAAAGUUGGCCGAGUACAACAGAUUUAUUCAGACAGUGAUUUAAAGGUGGAAGUUUGUGGAACAUCUUGGACAUACAAUCCAGCAGCAGUUUCCAAGGUGGCAUCUGCAGGAUCAGCCAUUAGCAAUGCAUCUGGUGAAAGACUCUCACAACUCCUGAAGAAAUUAUUUGAAACCCAAGAAUCUGGUGACCUCAAUGAAGAAUUAGUUAAGGCUGCUGCCAAUGGAGAUGUUGCUAAAGUGGAAGAUUUGCUUAAAAGACCAGAUGUGGAUGUAAAUGGGCAAUGUGCUGGCCACACAGCUAUGCAAGCUGCUAGUCAGAAUGGUCAUGUUGACAUUUUGAAGUUACUUUUGAAGCAAAACGUGGAUGUUGAAGCAGAGAAAGAAUUAUGACUUUGGUGUGAAGAAUAGAUUGGGAUAAGAAAGUGAAGGGAGGUUGAGUUGUGGUAAUCAUCCAGGAUAAAGAUGGUGAUAGAGCAGUUCACCAUGCAGCUUUUGGAGAUGAAGGCGCUGUUAUAGAAGUACUACAUCGAGGUAGUGCUGAUUUGAAUGCUCGAAACAAGCGCCGACAGACACCACUUCAUAUUGCUGUCAAUAAAGGUCAUCUUCAAGUUGUGAAGACUUUAUUGGACUUUGGCUGUCAUCCCAGUCUCCAGGAUUCUGAAGGUGAUACCCCUCUUCAUGAUGCAAUAAGUAAGAAACGUGAUGAUAUCCUAGCAG
rnacentral:sRNA from 1 species